rnacentral:misc_RNA from 1 species
UGCGAUGUUGCUAAAGUUCUGAGUAGACAAAUACUUUGCGGGAAAAAGACUUUAUGCAGUUUACGCAUUUCGUUGUUUGCUCUUCAUUGGAUUGAUUGAAAGUCACGUGAUCUAGUUUCUUGCGCGUGGGAUAGAAAAUGGAAGACAGGUCAAGAUCACGAUCCCCAGUUAGUGACAGAGACAGAAAACGUAGCCGUUCCCGCUCUCCAAGACGUCCCCGGAACAUGACAACAAAAAGAUGUAUCAUCAGUAAUAUACCCUAUGAUCUCAAAUGGCAGGAAAUUAAAGAUAUCUUCAGGAAUGAAGUUGGAGAUGUUGUAUAUGUGGAGCUUUUCAACAAUCCAGAUGGAAAGCCGAAAGGAACAGGGGUGAUAGAGUUCCGAGAUUUUGAAACAGCAGCCCUGGCUAUUGAUAAGAUGCACAGAUAUGAAAUAAAAGACAGAAAACUUGUAGUUAGAGAGGAAAGAGAACGUGAGCGUAGACAAAAUGAGAUGCUGUCAAAUAGAGGUGGUGGUGGUGGCCAAGGGGGAGGAGGAGGACAAGGUGUGAUGGGACCAGCUCCCAGGAACCUCGGUAUGGGAGGUGGAGGCAUGGGUAACAUGGGUGGAGGUGGUAUGGGUGGUGGAGGUAUGAAUACAGGUAUCAGUCCACAGAUUCUUCAGCAGCUUGGAAUUGAAGGCCCAUUGUCUAACACAGUUUUUGUUUCAAAUCUCGACUACAAAGUGACAUGGAGGAAGCUGAAGGAUGUAUUUAAACUUGCUGGAACAGUUCACAGAGCUGAAAUCUUCGAAGACAAAGGUGGCAGAAGUAGAGGGUUUGGAACUGUGACAUUUGAGACACCAGUCGAGGCAGUGCAAGCAAUAUCAAUGUUCAAUGGCCAGUCAUUGUUUGAUCGUACCAUGCGUGUCAAGAUGGAUAACCCUUCUGCAGGGAAACCAGAACCAUUACCAGAUGGACUGAAAGGACUUGGACCAUCUCUGACCAAUCUACAGCAAAUGUCUUCGUCUGACAUUGGUAUGGGUAUGGGAUCAACUGGUAUGGGUAUGGGAGGAAUGGGCUCCAUGGAUAGAAUGGGUUCUAUGGGCAUGUCCGGUAUGGGUGGAAUGGGCAAUAUGGGAGGCAUGGGUACUGGUAUGGGGACAGGAAUGACAGGUAUGGGUUCUGUGGGUAUGGGAACUGGUAUGACUGGGGCUAUGACGGGGAUGGGAAACAUGGGGACUAUGGGGACAGGACUUGGUAUGGGCAUGGGGGAUAGCUUUUCAACUGGGAUGACUGGAAUGGGGUCAACUAACAUGGGCACUGGCUCUAUGGGAACAUCUGGACUAAGUGACAGUUUUGGAAUGUCUUCGAUGGGAGCUGGUAUGGGUGGGUCCAGUGGCUUUAGCAGCAUGAUGGAUUCUUCACGGUCAUCUGGUAUGAGCAACUAUAGCUCGGGAAUGUCACAACGCAUGGACUAUGGUAGAGACUCUGGGAGAAGCAGUUCCACUAAUAUGCCACAAGGAGAUAUGAAAACAAGGGCAGAUAAAUCUACAGUCAUUGUGAAAAAUUUGCCAUACUCUGUUGACUGGCAAACAUUGAAGUCCAAAUUUCAAAGUGUUGGUGACAUCAGAUUUGCAGAGAUAAGCAAAAAUGACAAAGGAAAAUCGAAUGGCUGGGGAUUGGUUAGUUUCAGACGUGAAGACGAUGCCCAGGUUGCUGUCCAGAGGAUGAACCGUGUAAACCUGGAAGGACGGGACAUUGUUGUGAAGCUUCUCAACUGAUACUAACACUGGAGAACAUGCUCCCCUCUGGUAUGGCCAGGAUUUAGAAAAGGAUAACCUUACACAGUGGAAUGCUGCACGCACACUGGAGUAUGAAUGGAUUUGGUGAUUUGUGAUCAAGCAGUGUCAGAACUCCGCUAUCAGCUAGAUUACUUAAAAACACUUUGCUUCUUGUGGAACAAACGCAGGAGUUUGCUGGAGUUUCGUAUAGUAACAAGUUCCAAUGAGAUUGAAAUAUUAUGCUCUGAGUGAGAUUAACAGAAAAUGAAGAAAAGACAUUUGACACAGAAGCAGAAUGUGAUUUAUAAAUGUUGGAAAUGAAUUCUGUUUGUCAGUUAAUUUAGUAAUGGUAUCAAGAAAUGAAAAGAAAUUUGACUUGGAAAACUGAGAAAAACAUUCAACAUAAUUUUUUAAAGUCCUGAGAGAUUACAUACUGCAGUUAUGCCUUAGUUUAGUCACACAGUGAAAUAAAUCUAAUAAAGUUUGAAUGCCAUAAA